UACGUAGGGGGCUAGCGUUAUCCGGAAUUACUGGGCGUAAAGGGUGCGUAGGUGUUUCUUAAGUCAGAGGUGAAAGGCUACGGCUCAACCGUAGUAAGCCUUUGAAACUGGGGAACUUGAGUGCAGGAGAGGAGAGUGGAAUUCCUAGUGUAGCGGUGAAAUGCGUAGAUAUUAAGAGGAACACCAGUUGCGAAGGCGGCUCUCUGGACUGUAACUGACACUGAGGCACGAAAGCGUGGGGAGCAAACAGG
rnacentral:rRNA from 1 species